AUGUCGCUGCUGCCCGUCGGCGCCGCCCCCGCCACCUCCCGUCGCGGGCAGGCGGGAGGAGCCCUGCCCGGCCUCCUCCUCCCCCUCACCUUCUCUCCCUCUCCGGCGGCAAGGGGAGGCAGCGCCCAGAUCCGCAGCCGCACCGGCGGGCCGCCGUCCCUCGAGAUCGUCCAUGGAGGUCCGACCCGGCUACAGCCAUGGACUGAGACGCCCGAAUCCCUAGCUACCCGUGGAGGUCCGACGCCUCAACCUCCAAGGAAAGGACGGCGCCGGCUGCAGGCCAUCUCCGGCGACCUCCGACCAUGGUUGCUCGGAUCUGGACCAGCUGCUGCUCCUACUGCUUCAGGUGGACGAGGACGAGCCCUCCCUCAUUGCUGCUGCGGCUGCCUACUCCCUCCUCCUACCCCCUGGCCUGGGAUUUCUGGAGGUAACAUGCCUCUGAUUGUAUGCACUGAACUUCAGAUGGUGAACACGGCAGCAAAUUCAUUCUUCGAAGAAGUGAAGCGAUGUAAAAAAUGUGCAUCGGCGGCCGCCGAGUGA
rnacentral:rRNA from 1 species